rnacentral:rRNA from 1 species
CCUACGGGCGGCAGCAGUGGGGAAUAUUGGACAAUGGGCGAAAGCCUGAUCCAGCCAUGCCGCGUGUGUGAAGAAGGCCUUCGGGUUGUAAAGCACUUUCAGUGGGGAAGAAAGCCUUGGGGCUAAUACCCUCGAGGAAGGACAUCACCCACAGAAGAAGCACCGGCUAACUCCGUGCCAGCAGCCGCGGUAAUACGGAGGGUGCGAGCGUUAAUCGGAAUGUACUGCGGCGUAAAGCGCGCGUAGGCGGUCUGAUAAGCCGGUUGUGAAAGCCCCGGGCUCAACCUGGGAACGGCAUCCGGAAGGGUGGAGAGGUGAGUAGGAGAGGAGAGGAGCAUGACCGGGGGACAGGUAAAAUGCGAGACCAGAUGGUGGAACAGCAGAGGCGAAGGAGGAGAACGAAACGGGUACGGAAGCUGAGGUAUGUACGAGUGAGAAGCCAACAGGAUCAGAGACACUAGUAGUG